rnacentral:ncRNA from 1 species
GAUACAAUUGACCAAUGGACCAAGCUACCCCAGGGAUAACAGCGUAAAUCUCCUUCAAGAGCUCCUAGCGACAAGGAGGUUUAUGACCUCCAUGUUGGAUCAGGACAUCCAAAUGGUGCAGCCGCUAUUAAGGGUUCAUUUGUUCAACUAUUAACAGUCCUACAUGAUCUGAGUUCAGACUGGAGUAAUCCAGGUUGGUUUCUAUC